UCAGCCUGUAUUUCAUGUAUUUUACCACAGGAUGCUGCUAUGUUCUUGCAAUUUCCCCAACAGAAAAAGGAUACACACAUGCAUACAAAAACCCAUCAGCUCUCCAGCAAGUAUUUAUUAAGGACAGGAGGAAAUGCAGUUUAUUUCAUCCUGAACCCACUACAGACCACAUCAGCAGCCUUAGCUUUCUGAAACCACUCAUCUGGCAGCAAUUUUCUCCAGCAACUGAAUAAGACCUACCUGCUAUAUCUACUUCCUCAUCUCAAGACAAAACAAGUGUAUAGGUUUGUUUAAUAAUGGAACACGGGACUCAGAAAACUUUAUAGAAAAAAAUUUUAUAACAGAUUGAGCUACUCAAUGACUGUGCGAUGCCAUAAAAAAGGGCACAAUUUUGGAGUCAGAAGACCGGGGUUCAAAUCACAUCUUUGUCUAAACAUCAUCUCUAUGACUUUAGGAUCCUGUCCUUUCUCUGGAAAACAUGAAUCCCACAAAUCACCAUCUCAGUUAUUACUUGGUUUUCAAAGAGUAACAGAUGUAAUGAUGUGAAUUAAGGAAAUGCCACAGCCAGAGGGAAAGCAGGGUAGGUUUCGCAGUGUGGACACCGUAAGUCACCCUCUCCUGAGCAUCAAUGGACAGAAGGGCGCUAACAAUGACCACGUCCAAGAAUGACAAUAAAGCACUUACAGCUAUUUGAAUAUUAUUGUCUGUGCUUGGCGCUGGGUCUACAAUAA